rnacentral:rRNA from 1 species
AGUGAACGCUGGCGGUAGGCCUAACACAUGCAAGUCAAACGGCAGCACAGAGGAGCUUGCUCCUUGGGUGGCGAGUGGCGGACGGGUGAGGAAUACAUCGGAAUCUACUCUGUCGUGGGGGAUAACGUAAGGAAACUUACGCUAAUACCGCAUACGACCUACGGGUGAAGGCAGGGGACCUUCGGGCCUUGCGCGAUUGAAUGAGCCGAUGUCGGAUUACCUAGUUGGCGGGGUAAAGGCCCACCAAGGCGACGAUCCGUAGCUGGUCUGAGAGGAUGAUCAGCCACACUGGAACUGAGACACGGUCCAGACUCCUACGGGAGGCAGCAGUGGGGAAUAUUGGACAAUGGGCGCAAGCCUGAUCCAGCCAUACCGCGUGGGUGAAGAAGGCCUUCGGGUUGUAAAGCCCUUUUGUUGGGAAAGAAAUCCAGCUGGCUAAUACCCGGUUGGGAUGACGGUACCCAAAGAAUAAGCACCGGCUAACUUCGUGCCAGCCGCCGCCGUAA